rnacentral:rRNA from 1 species
AGUGAACGCUGGCGGCAGGCCUAAUACAUGCAAGUCGAACGGCAGCACGGCAGAGCUUGCUCUGUGGGUGGCGAGUGGCGGACGGGUGAGGAAUACAUGGGAAUCUGCCCAGUCGUGGGGGAUAACGUAGGGAAACUUACGCUAAUACCGCAUGCGCCCUUCGGGGGAAAGCCGGGGACCUUCGGGCCUGGCGCGAUUGGAUGAGCCCAUGUCGGAUUAGCUAGUUGGCGGGGUAAUGGCCCACCAAGGCGACGAUCCGUAGCUGGUCUGAGAGGAUGAUCAGCCACACUGGAACUGAGACACGGUCCAGACUCCUACGGGAGGCAGCAGUAGGGAAUAUUGGACAAUGGGCGCAGGCCUGAUCCAGCCAUGCCGCGUGAGUGAAGAAGGCCCUCGGGUUGUAAAGCUCUUUUGUCCGGAAAGAAAAGCGCCGGGUUAAUACCCUGGUGUCCUGACGGUACCGGAAGAAUAAGCACCGGCUAACUUCGUGCCAGCAGCCG